GUUCAAGAAUUACAAAAAAAAAAACACAAAAAAAAACUAGACAAAGAUAAUGCACGCGCUUCAGCAUGGAUCACUAGAAUACUGGAUUUAGUAUAACAAUGAUGUUCAUGGGCUGUGUCUGAAAGAUGCCCGCCAGAAAACAGUCAUUAUGUAAAAAACCCGUCAUUUGUGGAAAAUAUAAAGAAAAACCAAAAUCCCGAAAAACGUGCACAUCUUAUUACAUCAAUCUACAUAAUAUACUUUAGGAGGAGUUGGUCAGACAAACCAGGUACCAGGACGAAAUGACGGGGACGGACAGGGUUUCUUUUUAAACAAUAUGCUCUUGACAUUUUGUCGCAGGGUAUAAAAAUAGUCAGUAUGACACUAGCAAACCAACUUCUUCGAGAAAACAAACAUAAGAACAAUAAAAAGAUACAUACGAACAAUGGAAAGAUACACAUACGAACAACGAAAACAGGCAUACGAACAAUGAAAACAGACAUACGAACAACGAAAGGAUGUAUUCAAAUAAUGAAAACAGACUUGGAUACAUACGAAUAAUGAAAGCAGACAUACAUACAAUGAAAACAGACAUACGAACAAUGAAAACAGACAUACAUACAAUGAAAACAAAC
rnacentral:lncRNA from 1 species